rnacentral:rRNA from 1 species
UACGGGGGGAGCAAGCGUUGUUCGGAUUUACUGGGCGUAAAGGGCGCGUAGGCGGUCAGCACAAGUCAGUUGUGAAAUCUCCGGGCUUAACUCGGAAAGGUCAACUGAUACUGUGCGACUAGAGUGCGGAAGGGGCAACUGGAAUUCUCGGUGUAGCGGUGAAAUGCGUAGAUAUCGAGAGGAACACCUGCGGCGAAGGUGGGUUGCUGGGCCGACACUGACGCUGAUGCGCGAAAGCCAGGGGAGCGAGCGGG